rnacentral:rRNA from 1 species
UGCGUAGGCGGUUCAUUAAGUCGGUUGUGAAAUCCCUGGGCUUAACCUGGGAACUGCAGUCGAUACUGGUGAACUAGAGUGCGGUAGAGGGUGGCGGAACUCCGGGUGUAGCGGUGAAAUGCGUAGAUAUCCGGAAGAACACCGAUGGCGAAGGCAACCACCUGGGCCUGCACUGACGCUGAGGUACGAAAGCGUGGGGAGCAAACA